CUAAUUUAUUGAGAUGCACCUGUAUUUUCCUGUGACUCUGUUAAGCUGCUUUGACACAACCAGUAUUGUAUAAAGUGUUAUACAAAUAAAGUUGACUUGGUCUCUUUUUAAAGAAAACACUUCAAGAUUAUUGCUGAAGAGAAAAGUUUGUAUGUAAAACUGAACAUGAAAAUCAAAGCCAUAAAUCUAAAGAAGUUGUGCUCCAAAUUUGAAGUUGAUAUUACAAUUUUUUUUCUUUCAGUCAGAUUUUGUUUGGGCCAUUAAUAUAAACCAUAAAUGACACCAGAUACACACCGACAGAUGUUUCCAUGUUUGUAAUUUAAUAAAAAGACAUGACAAUCUGAAAUUCAGUUCUUCUUUGCAGUUACUUUAAGCUCUGUAUUUGUCAAGAUAUCAUCUCUCUAAAAUCUGAUAUACCUUUACAACAGCAUUUAAGAAAACAACUUUUAAACGUGUUACUUCAUAUAAGUCAUAUUUACAGAAUGUACAUGAUCACUCAAUGAAAACACUUUUAACGGCUAACAUCAUGUUACGAUACAUCACUGUACACAGAUCAGAGAUCAGAUGACUGUACAGGAGAGAGAGCGAGGAGAUUCAGUGUCCUUCAACAGUCUGAUUUCAGGAAUCAAUCAUGGUCUGAUUGGCACAGAUGAGCAAAAUAAACUCCAAUGGAAUGAAACGCUGCUGAUCUCCAAACUCAAUGAUCCCUAAAACAUGACUGAUGAUGAGUGUGACUGGGUUUAACACCAGCUGCAGCCAGACGAGAUCAAUAUCAAACCAAUAAAACAACAAAAGUUAAGGCAACCAAUACUUCGAAAUACAGACGGAUGAAUCUCACUGUAAAGAACAGGUCCAGAUAUCAUAGUUCAGCCCGAACAUGACACCAGCUUCUCAGACCACUGAGAUUUUUUGCAUUUUGAUGUGAUUUUUAGCUGCAAAUAUUAUGAAAUGCAAAAAAAUAUUCUGAAAAAAAAAAGUAUAUUUAAAUGUCAAAAUAUUUAUACAUUAUGAAUUUAUAUUAAUGUAUUACAGUAAUGAUAAUCUAAAGAGAAUCACUAUUGAUACUGAAAAACAGAAAACAAAUCAAAAGUAAAUGUCCAGGAAUUAUGGUUUAUUCUCUACACUAUUUUGUGUUACAGAUGGUUUUGCUAGUUUGAGUUAAACCAAUGGUUUUCUAAAAUAAAUAAAAUAGAUUUAAAAAUUGAAAAAAAAAAAGGGUAAUUGCGACUUUUUAACCCAAUUCUGACUUAUUUUCUAACAACUGCAAGUUUAUAUCUAACAAUUCUGAGUGUAUAUCUCACAUAGUUUGACUCAAAUAUUUGUUUCCAUCACAGGAUAAAAAAUAAAAAGGUAGCCUACUUGAAACUUUUAUCUCACAAUUGCGAGUUUAUAACUCAGAAUUCUAUUUGGAAAGAAAAAAACAACAACUCAGAACUGGGAGAUAAAGUCGCAAUUACUUUUUUCUUUUAUUUUUGAUCAUGUGGCAGAAAUGAGUUUCCACAGAAGAGACCUGGUGAUAUCAAUCAUAAUGCAAAAAAAAGCCAAAAUGAUAAUAAAACAGACAUCCCUUUCUUUAUGCAAAAUAUAAUUUCCUAUUUUUUUCUGUUGAUCUGAGUGUGAAGCAUGAUCUGGAGAUGUUGUUGAGACUGAUCCUGAUAGAGGUGCAGACUGACGUCUGUCGGACAGGACCAGACUCCAGACGCCUGAGGUAAGACUGACCUCGAGCUUCCAGACAGAAAAGCUGAGAGAGAGAGAGAGAGAGAGAGAGAGAGAGAGAGAGAGAAACCAGUCCGUAUCCUUCAGAGCAAAACUCCACAUUGACGGACGUCAUCUGUGUAACAACAGUAACUUCACCACACCUGCUCCGGUUCAUCGCUGCAGCGUUUCUGAGGAGUCUGAACACGUGUGUGAGAAACAGAAACGGUCCGGGAAUCACACACACGGGGGAAUGUGGCGAGAGUGUGUUCAGGAACUCUUUUCCACAUGAGUUCAAAGUGACCAGUCCAUCAAGACCCAGCUACAGCAUGAAAGCAGUCACGUGAUGCUGGGACUCUGUAUUCACUCUCAGUGUGCAGCCGUUCAAACACAAGUGAAUAUUUUAGUGGAAAAGAGAGCACAUGGGCUGCUGUUAAGAUACUCCUAUGUGGCGUUUUGUCAUUUUUGGCACUUGACGGACAUAUUAAAGAUGUAUCCGAUGAUUCUGUGUUCUUCACAGAAGCAGCCUGCGUGAGGUGCUGUCAGAGCGCGUCCUGUACGUGUGUGUGUUACUGCGGUUAGCAGACGGCGGCGGUGUUCCCGUCUCUGCGUCCCUGUUUCUUCAGGAGCUGGAUGCGGUUGUGGCAGUAGAACUUGAUGGCCCUCCAGUCGCGCUGGUUGCUGACCAGCAGAGGGCAGAGCUGCAGGCACCGCUCACAGUCCGCUUUCGCAGGAACACGCAGCUCCAUGAUGUUCUUCUUCAGAUUGAACAUAACUUCUGAUUACUGAAGUGAGCUGACCUGACUUGACCUGAGCGCUGCGUCUCUUGUGUCCGGCUGACGGCGAGCUGGUGGACUGGUGAGGGCUGCUCUUCUUCCGCCGCGGCGCUCGAGUGCUCGACCCUUCCUUCUUCACAGAGUCUUGAGUCUUACUGGCCUCUCCAUCAGAGUCAUCAGAGAAAGAGUCGGCAGAGUUCCCCGACAUCACUGACACAAACAC
ensembl:lncRNA